CAGUAUCAAUUCUCCAAACUGCCAUGGACAAACAGCGUAAGCACUGACAGAAAAAAGACUCAUUCUGGGAGGUAGAACAUCAGCACAGCAUAAAUUUUGCAGCAGAAUACCAGGCCGCUGACACUACAGACUGACUUUUAUUUUCACAAACUGCCAGCUGCGCGUAAAGGAAUACAUUUAAACAACAAGCCCUUGUGGCUUUUCCUUCUACUUCACAGUUCUUCUCAGAGAUGGGCAAAGUAAACAAGUUAAAAGUAAUGUAUUUUCCCUGCCUUGGCUACUGCAUUUGUAGUUGUUUCCGUUUGUUUGUGUUAUUUCUGUGAUGUGGACUGCCCUCAUUUGCUACUUAGACAACAAAAUGUAUUGUCUGAAACAAAUUUGUUGAAACAAGCACAUACAUAAAUACUGAGACAUGAGCCUGAACAAUAUAAUGCAUCAUAACAUUUAGGCCAUCUUGCUCACUUUAAUGUCAACUUCUAAGUAAAACUCAUCCUGUGAUAUGUAUCCAUUCACCUCAAAUUCACUGGAAUACAUGACCCUGCAUUCCAGUAUGACAGAAGCUGCGAUGCGGAACAGUAUCACGAUGCGGAACUCCAUUACAACAUAUAGCAGCACAUUUCAGUUUCGAUCUCUCACUUGACAGACAUGUAUGUAACAUUACCCUGGGGGCAUGUAGGUGGUAAGAACAGUGAUAGUGUUGAGUGUGCUGCUGCCCUGAGAGAAGGGACACAUUACGCUGGCCUGACUGAAUUGCAUGUCAUUUGUGGAGCUGUCCUGUCAUUGCAGUCCAGCCAGGAAGAGCAGCUGUAGUAAGGCAAGGCUUGAUGAAACCAGGGCUAUAAUAAUUUCUCUUCUCCCUUCCCUUUCACUGCCAUCUUCCCUUCUCAUCUUCUACAGUCAAUAAAAGGGCCCCUGCACGCAGUUCUGUGACAGAACCCAUUAUGAUCUCAUGGUUUGCUAUUGGGUGAGAGCUAUUCUCAGUGGGAUGUGAUUGGUUAGUUAGGUGGUCGGGGGCAGGGCUGAUCAGAUGGUGGUGAUCUGAGACAUGGACCCAGGUGACAUGUAUGGAUGCUUUCGAGGAGGAAGCAGCAGUGUUGUGCUUUUAGGUCUUGAUAUAUAGGGAUUAAUUCUUUUUUGAAGAUAUUUUUAGAGUUCCAUAUUUCUGGGACACAUUACCACAAAAAGUCACCAAAUGAUCUUGCUGCUGAAUUUCUUAUGAGGACACUCAGUAUUUGUGAAGGGUACAUAACAAAUAAACAUUAAAACAAUUGUUUGUUAUCAGCAGAGAACAGUCAAUUUAUAUAUACUAAGGCACAAUUGUAAUGCACGUUAAGAUGCUUAUGAAUAUUCCAUGUAUAAAUUAAGGCCUAUCUCAGUAUGCUGGUUCUGUUCGCUUUGGCUAUGAAAGAAACUUCAAAGAAAUAAACAGCAAAGUAACAUCCCUCUAACAGUCUGGUGUGUUGUUAAGAUUGAGCUUUUCUUGUUACUUAAAGGUGGAUUACUGCUCGGACAUGUCACCAAAUCGUAAAUGUAUAUAUAUAUAUAUAUAUAUAUAUAUAUAUAAACCUGUUCUUAUUAUAACAUAAAUCCACUAUACAAAAAAUCAUAUGUAAAAAUUAUAAAAAAUUAUAAUAAAAUUAUAUGUAAUAGAAAUCUAAUAAUUUAAAGUAAAUAAGCAAAUACCUCAAACCAAAAUAAUAAUACAAACAAUAAACAAAAUAAUAAUUAAAUUACAUUACAAAUAAUAAAUAAUGGAUCUACGUAGUGACAAUCUGUAUAAAAUGUAAGGUAAAAGGCAGUCAAUGUAAUAUAAUAUAAAUAUAAUAGAAUAAAUUAUUGAUAUGAUGUUCUGUGAUAUGCAACAAAGCAUUGGUUUUUGUUCAGACAAAGGAACAACUUCAUCUAUGAUCUUCGUCGCAGUG
rnacentral:lncRNA from 1 species